GAUGAACGCUGGCGGCGUGCCUAAUACAUGCAAGUCGAGCGAACAGACGAGGAGCUUGCUCCUCUGACGUUAGCGGCGGACGGGUGAGUAACACGUGGAUAACCUACCUAUAAGACUGGGAUAACUUCGGGAAACCGGAGCUAAUACCGGAUAAUAUAUUGAACCGCAUGGUUCAAUAGUGAAAGACGGUUUUGCUGUCACUUAUCGAUGGAUCCGCGCCGCAUUAGCUAGUUGGUAAGGUAACGGCUUACCAAGGCAACGAUGCGUAGCCGACCUGAGGGGGUGGUAGGCCACACUAGAACUGAGACAGGGUCCAGACUCCUACGGGAGGCACCAGUAGGGAAUCUUCCGCAAUGGGCGAAAGCCUGACGGAGCAACGCCGCGUGAGUGAUGAAGGUCUUCGGAUCGUAAAACUCUGUUAUUAGGGAAGAACAAAUGUGUAAGUAACUAUGCACGUCUUGACGGUACCUAAUCAGAAAGCCACGGCUAACUACGUG
rnacentral:rRNA from 1 species